rnacentral:rRNA from 1 species
CACGUAGUUAGCCGGGGCUUCUUAGUCAGGUACCGUCAUUUUCUUCCCUGCUGAUAGAGCUUUACAUACCGAAAUACUUCUUCACUCACGCGGCGUCGCUGCAUCAGGGUUCCCCCAUUGUGCAAUAUUCCCCACUGCUGCCUCCCGUAGGAGUUUGGGCCGUGUCUCAGUCCCAAUGUGGCCGGUCACCCUCUCAGGCCGGCUACUGAUCGUCGCCUUGGUGGGCCUCUACCCCGCAACUAGCUAAUCAGACGCGGGUCCAUCGUAUACCGUUUACGCUUUUCACACUGCUCCAUGCGAAGCUGUGCGCUUAUGCGGUAUUAGCACCUAUUUCUAAGUGUUAUCCCCCUGUAUACGGCAGGUUACCCACGCGUUACUCACCCGUCCGCCACUAAACAAAAUCACUAGGUUUCAUUCUGUUCCCGUUCGACUUGCAUGUGUUAGGCACGCCGCCAGCGUUCAUCCUGAGCCAGGAUCAAACUCU